AUUGAACGCUGGCGGCAGGCUUAACACAUGCAAGUCGAGCGGAGCGAGGGUGCUUGCACCUUAGCUUAGCGGCGGACGGGUGAGUAAUGCUUAGGAAUCUGCCUAUUAGUGGGGGACAACAUUCCGAAAGGGAUGCUAAUACCGCAUACGCCCUACGGGGGAAAGCGGGGGAUCUUCGGACCUUGCGCUAAUAGAUGAGCCUAAGUCGGAUUAGCUAGUUGGUGGGGUAAAGGCCUACCAAGGCGACGAUCUGUAGCGGGUCUGAGAGGAUGAUCCGCCACACUGGGACUGAGACACGGCCCAGAUUCCUACGGGAGGCAGCAGUGGGGAAUAUUGGACAAUGGGGGGAACCCUGAUCCAGCCUUGCCGCGUGUGUGAAGAAGGCCUUAUGGUUGUAAAGCACUUUAAGCGAGGAGGAGGCUCUUUUGGUUAAUACCCAGAAUGAGUGGACGUUACUCGCAGAAUAAGUACCGGCUAACUCUAUGCCAGCCGCCGCCGUAA
rnacentral:rRNA from 1 species